GAUGAACGCUGGCGGCGUGCUUAAUACAUGCAAGUCGAACGGAGACGUUAUAGCAAUAUGAUGUCUUAGUGGCGAACGGGUGAGUAACGCGUUGGUGACCUGCCCCGAAGAGGGGGAUAGCAGCUCGAAAGGGCUGCUAAUACCCCAUGUGGUCGCGAAGGUUAGAGGCUUUGCGAUUAAAGGAGUAAUCCACUUCGGGAGGGGCCUGCGUCCCAUCAGCUAGUUGGUAGGGUAAAAGCCUACCAAGGCGACGACGGGUAGGGGACCUGAGAGGGUGAACCCCCACACUGGCACUGAAACACGGGCCAGACACCUACGGGUGGCAGCAGUAGGGAAUAUUGCACAAUGGGCGAAAGCCUGAUGCAGCAACGCCGCGUGCGCGAUGAAGGCCUUCGGGUCGUAAAGCGCUUUUUGGGGAGAUGAGGAAGGACAGUAUCCCAGAAUAAGAUUCGGCUAACUACGUGCCAGCCGCCGCAGUAAGAC
rnacentral:rRNA from 1 species